rnacentral:rRNA from 1 species
CAUCCUGGAGGGGAAGUACCUUCCAAGGGUUUGGCUGUUCGCCAAUUAAAGUGGUACGCGAGCUGGGUUCAAAACGUCGUGAGGCAGUUUGGUCCCUAUCUGUCGUGGGCGUAGGAAAUUUGAACGGACUUGUCCUUAGUACGAGAGGACCGGGAUGAACAUGGCAACGGUAUAUCAGUUGUUUCGCCAGAAGCAUGGCUGAGUAGCUGCCCAUGGAAAGGAUAAACGCUGAAAGCAUCUAAGCGUGAAGCCUACCGUAAGAUGAGACUUCCCAUUCGGAAGAAGUAAGUGCCCUCGAAUGUUACGAGGUUGAUAGGAUGGAGAUGUAAGUGUUGUAAGGCAUUUAGUCGACCAUUACUAAUAGCACGAGGACUUAAUUUC